GAUGAACGCUGGCGGCGUGCCUAAUACAUGCAAGUCGAGCGAACGGACGAGAAGCUUGCUUCUCUGAUGUUAGCGGCGGACGGGUGAGUAACACGUGGAUAACCUACCUAUAAGACUGGGAUAACUUCGGGAAACCGGAGCUAAUACCGGAUAAUAUUUUGAACCGCAUGGUUCAAAAGUGAAAGACGGUCUUGCUGUCACUUAUAGAUGGAUCCGCGCUGCAUUAGCUAGUUGGUAAGGUAACGGCUUACCAAGGCAACGAUGCAUAGCCGACCUGAGAGGGUGAUCGGCCACACUGGAACUGAGACACGGUCCAGACUCCUACGGGAGGCAGCAGUAGGGAAUCUUCCGCAAUGGGCGAAAGCCUGACGGAGCAACGCCGCGUGAGUGAUGAAGGUCUUCGGAUCGUAAAACUCUGUUAUUAGGGAAGAACAUAUGUGUAAGUAACUGUGCACAUCUUGACGGUACCUAAUCAGAAAGCCACGGCUAACUACGUGCCAGCAGCCGCGGUAAUACGUAGGUGGCAAGCGUUAUCCGGAAUUAUUGGGCGUAAAGCGCGCGUAGGCGGUUUUUUAAGUCUGAUGUGAAAGCCCACGGCUCAACCGUGGAGGGUCAUUGGAAACUGGAAAACUUGAGUGCAGAAGAGGAAAGUGGAAUUCCAUGUGUAGCGGUGAAAUGCGCAGAGAUAUGGAGGAACACCAGUGGCGAGGGCGACUUUCUGGUCUGUAACUGACGCUGAUGUGCGAAAGCGUGGGGAUCAAACAGGAUUAGAUACCCCGGUAGUCCACGCCGUAAACGAUGAGUGCUAAGUGUUAGGGGGUUUCCGCCCCUUAGUGCUGCAGCUAACGCAUUAAGCACUCCGCCUGGGGAGUACGACCGCAAGGUUGAAACUCAAAGGAAUUGACGGGGACCCGCACAAGCGGUGGAGCAUGUGGUUUAAUUCGAAGCAACGCGAAGAACCUUACCAAAUCUUGACAUCCUUUGACAACUCUAGAGAUAGAGCCUUCCCCUUCGGGGGACAAAGUGACAGGUGGUGCAUGGUUGUCGUCAGCUCGUGUCGUGAGAUGUUGGGUUAAGUCCCGCAACGAGCGCAACCCUUAAGCUUAGUUGCCAUCAUUAAGUUGGGCACUCUAAGUUGACUGCCGGUGACAAACCGGAGGAAGGUGGGGAUGACGUCAAAUCAUCAUGCCCCUUAUGAUUUGGGCUACACACGUGCUACAAUGGACAAUACAAAGGGCAGCGAAACCGCGAGGUCAAGCAAAUCCCAUAAAGUUGUUCUCAGUUCGGAUUGUAGUCUGCAACUCGACUACAUGAAGCUGGAAUCGCUAGUAAUCGUAGAUCAGCAUGCUACGGUGAAUACGUUCCCGGGUCU
rnacentral:rRNA from 1 species